rnacentral:rRNA from 1 species
GAUGAACGCUGGCGGCGUGCUUAACACAUGCAAGUCGAACGGAAAGACGCGGCGCUUUCCUCUCUGGCGGUACCGGCGGGCGGGUGAGUAACGCGUGGACCACCUCCUUAUAAGAAGCGGAUCACUUCGGGAAACCGUAGCUAAUACCGGAUAAGAUUUAGAGCGGGAGGGUUCAAUAGUUAACGACGUUUUUGCUGCCACUUAUAGAUGGAUCCGGGGCUCAUUAGCUAGUUGGUCAGGUAAAGGCUUACCAAGGCAACGAUGGGUAGCCGACCUGAGAGGGUGAUCGGCCACACUGGGACUGAGACACGGUCCAGACUCCUACGGGAGGCAGCAGUAGGGAAUGUUCGGCAAUGGGCGAAAGCCUGACGCAGCAACGCCGCGUGAGUGAUGAAGGCCUUCGGAUCGUAAAGCUCUGUUAUUAGGAAAGAACCGGUUUGUAUGUAGACACGCAGGUAUUGACGGUACCGAAAGAAGAAGCACCGGCUAACUACGUG